CGGGCGGUAAAUUCCGUCCAAGG
rnacentral:snRNA from 1 species